rnacentral:piRNA from 1 species
UGUGGUAAGACCAAAAUCAGAUUUUAGGGG